AUGCUCAGGGUCCCAUACAAUUUAUUUCACUAAUUUUCUUUUUCUUUUUUUUUUUUUUUUUUUAGGAUUAAUGGUUCCCUCUUGUAGUCUCAUUCAAACAUGAAGCCUAAGUGGGUUAUGCUGCUUCUAACAAAACAUUUGUGCAUACUCAUAUCCUCUCUUACACCACCUUAUACAGAAUUUUGCUAUUCUAACUAAGUUAUAUCAAUGAAGUAAAAAAUCAAAAUGCAGUUCCUUGCUCUCAGCGUCAAAAAACAGGAUCUUCCUUAUCUCCAGGUCUCUCCAUGGAGAUAGUACCGCGUCAGUUGAGAAGGCAGUACUGUUGAUGAUGGCUAUCACCCCUACGUGCAGGUAUCACGGGAAAGACAAAUGUGGUCAUCAUGGGUUUUUC